UACAGAGGGGGCAAGCGUUGUUCGGAAUUACUGGGCGUAAAGGGCGCGUAGGCGGCCUUCUAAGUCGGACGUGAAAUCCCCGGGCUCAACCCGGGAACUGCGUCCGAGACUGGAAGGCUCGAAUCCGGGAGAGGGAUGUGGAAUUCCAGGUGUAGCGGUGAAAUGCGUAGAUAUCUGGAGGAACAUCGGUGGCGAAGGCGGCAUCCUGGACCGGUAUUGACGCUGAGGCGCGAAAGCCAGGGGAGCAAACGGG
rnacentral:rRNA from 1 species